rnacentral:rRNA from 1 species
AGUGGAAGCGUCUGGAAAGGCGCGCGAUACAGGGUGACAGCCCCGUACACAAAAGCGCAUGUGCUGUGAGCUCGAUGAGUAGGGCGGGACACGUGGUAUCCUGUCUGAAUAUGGGGGGACCAUCCUCCAAGGCUAAAUACUCCUGACUGACCGAUAGUGAACCAGUACCGUGAGGGAAAGGCGAAAAGAACCCCGGCGAGGGGAGUGAAAAAGAACCUGAAACCGUGUACGUACAAGCAGUGGGAGCACCCUUUGGGGUGUGACUGCGUACCUUUUGUAUAAUGGGUCAGCGACUUAUAUUCUGUAGCAAGGUUAACCGAAUAGGGGAGCCGGAGGGAAACCGAGUCUUAAYYGGGCGUUAAGUUGCAGGGUAUAGACCCGAAACCCGGUGAUCUAGCCAUGGGCAGGUUGAAGGUUGGGUAACACUAACUGGAGGACCGAACCGACUAAUGUUGAAAAAUUAGCGGAUGACCUGUGGCUGGGGGUGAAAGGCCAAUCAAACCGGGAGAUAGCUGGUUCUCCCCGAAAGCUAUUUAGGUAGCGCCUCGUGAAUUCAUCUCCGGGGGUAGAGCACUGUUUCGGCUAGGGGGCCAUCCCGGCUU